UUUAUCUAUGAAGUAAACAUAAACAAAAUCUUGCAGCGUUCUUGCAUCCUUGAAUUUGAUGGAGCAUCCAGUGGAAAUCCUGGAAGGUCUGGUGCUGGAGCUGUUCUUCGUUCUGCAGAUGGGAGUCGGGUGAAUGUAGCUAACACUUUAUGUCUCUUUAUAGGUCCAUGGCGUCAGCCAAGGACUCGGCAUUCAAACAAAUAAUUCCGCUGAAUAUAAUGGUCUAAUUUUGGGGCUGAAAGAAGCUAGCAACCAAGGAUAUGAGCAUGUUCAUGUCCGAGGUGACUCUCAGCUUGUCUGCAAGCAGUUUGAGGGUUCCUGGAAAGUCAACAAUCCAAAUUUAAGGAACCUGUGCAAUGAGGCUGUGGAGCUGAAGAGUAACUUCAAGUCCGUCCGUGUUGAACAUGUUCCUAGGGGUUCUAACUCUGCAGCUGAUGCUCAAGCAAAUCGUGGCAAAAAUCUUGGAGCCGGCGAAGUUGAAUAUUACUACUGAUAAGAUCAUGUGACAGCAUGCCACUGUCAAAAUUAUUGGCAACUAUGUUACUUUUCUUAUUUAGUUUGUGCCUACUAGUUUCGCAUUUAGGGGGAUGUACAUGAGACACUCCAUGUCAAAGGUCGAAUGUUGUUUACAAUUUUGUCAAUUUGAACAUGCCAUGAUGUGUAUGUAUAUCCCACCAUUGCUUAAGAGGCUUAAAAUGGUGUUGUUUUGAUGUUUGGAUUUUAUGCUUAGACGCCAUGUGAAUGUUUCUGAAUUCUUAUCUUCUGUC
rnacentral:lncRNA from 1 species